rnacentral:rRNA from 1 species
UCAUAUGCUNGUCUCAAAGANUAAGCCAUGCAUGUCUAAGUACGUGCCUAAGAAAGGUGAAACCGCGAAUGGCUCAUUAAAUCAGUUAUGGUUCCUUAGAUCGUACCUUACUACUUGGAUAACUGUGGUAAUUCUAGAGCUAAUACAUGCAGCAGAGCUCCGACCUUCGGGGACGAGCGCUUUUAUUAGACCAAGACCAAUCGGACUUCGGUCCGAAGCUCAUGGUGACUCUGGAUAACUUUGGGCUGAUCGCACGGUCUCGUACCGGCGACGCAUCUUUCAAGUGUCUGCCUUAUCAACUUUCGAUGGUAGGUUAUGCGCCUACCAUGGUCGUAACGGGUAACGGGGAAUCAGGGUUCGAUUCCGGAGAGGGAGCCUGAGAAACGGCUACCACAUCCAAGGAAGGCAGCAGGCGCGCAAAUUACCCACUCCCGGCACGGGGAGGUAGUGACGAAAAAUAACAAUACGGGACUCUAUUGAGGCCCCGUAAUUGGAAUGAGUACACUCUAAAUCCUUUAACGAGGAUCUAUUGGAGGGCAAGUCUGGUGCCAGCAGCCGCGGUAAUUCCAGCUCCAAUAGCGUAUAUUAAAGUUGUUGCGGUUAAAAAGCUCGUAGUUGGAUCUCAGUUCCAGACGGGUGGUCCACCCCUGGUGGUUACUGCCUGGCCUGAACAAAUCCAGCCGGUUUUCCUUGAUGCUCUUCACCGAGUGUCUUGGGUGACCGGCACGUUUACUUUGAAAAAAUUAGAGUGCUCAAAGCAGGCGUGACGCCUGAAUAAUGGUGCAUGGAAUAAUGGAAUAGGACCUCGGUUCUAUUUUGUUGGUUUUCGGAACACGAGGUAAUGAUUAAGAGGGACAGACGGGGGCAUUCGUAUUGCGACGCUAGAGGUGAAAUUCUUGGACCGUCNCNAGACGAACUACU